rnacentral:rRNA from 1 species
GCCUAACGGCUGAACUGGCAACUUGGAGAAGUGGCAAGUCUUCCAGUAUGGGGAGCAAAACAGCUAUGGAUCAAGUCCGAUAUCUUUAGGAGAAGUCUUAUUGUGAGGGCGAGUUUUAUAACACCAUAGGACUGGCCGUCCCAUAUGAAAAGAUUAUAUUAGAAUUGAAUGAAGCUUUGUUUAUAUAUUGAUAAUGACAGUAUAUAUAUCGUGUCUUGACUAAUUGCGUGCCAGCAGUCGCGGUAAUACGUAAGAGACUAGUGUUAUUCAUCUUAAUUAGGUUUAAAGGGUACCCAGACGGUCAAUAUAGCUUAUAAAAUGUUAGUACUUGACUAGAGUUUUAUGUAAGAGGGCAGUACUUGAGGAGGAGAGAUGAAAUUUCGUGAUACCAAAGGGACUCUGUAAAGGCGAAGGCAGCCCUCUAUGUAAAAACUGACGUUGAAGGACGAAGGCACAGAGAACAAACAGGAUUAGAUACCCAAGUAGUCUUUGCAGUAAAUGAUGAAUGCCAUAGGUUAGAUGGGUGGGUAGUCUAGUUGAGUUAGUUUAGCAAACUAAUGAUCUAGACGAGCCCACCAUAUAUUUGGUCUAUAAAUGAAAGUGUAAGCAUUUCACCUCAAGAGUAAUGUGGCAACGCAGGAACUGAAAUCACUAGACCGUUUCUGACACCAGUAGUGAAG